AGGCUAUUUACUGAGAUGUUCACAAAACUAAAUCCAGCUCUACACAGAGGCCACCACUUAAAGAAGCCCAUCUUCCAACAAGAUUACGAGGAAUUACAUCGAACUAUCAGUGGAGAAAUGUGUCUCCCAGGAACUGAUGCUCUGGAAGCCCAAGUCAGUUACCUUCCUAAGGAAAACCAUGAAACUGCCCUCUUCACAAGGCAUCCUGCUUCUUGCCACUCUUCCAGCACUCAGACACUCUGAUGACAGAAGAGAAUCAGACAAACACAGUAGUUAGAUCAGGCAGGUCUUUCAGAACCAGGAUAAUCCAUGCACAGUGCUAUUACUGCAAGCUUGCACGUUACAGACAAGCCAAACUGAAGAGCAGAUGCACAGGUCACACUGCUGUGAACUAAUUCUUCAGGUGAAAAUUUUCACUGUGGACUGAAGCAAACAAAUACCAAAUGGUUCUUUGCUGUUCUUGCCACAACUACUCUUUUCAAUUUAAGAAAUGGUAAGGUCAAAUGACUCCAUGCGCUAUUCUGAAAGUGUAUUGAGGCCUGAAAGUGGGAUAAAGGCCCUACCAACCUUCAGAGGCACUCCCGCCCCAUGAGGGAAACACAUGGGGAGAUGUACUGUUAAGGCUCUCACAAGAGGCAAACAGCUGUCAUGCUGUGACGGGUUUGUGCCGCAUAAGGUUGAACGCUCAGAACCCAGACACCAAGUGAGAUACUCUUAAGUUAGUCCGGCUGGCUCUGCACCGUUAUUAAUCAUACUUUGCUGUGAAAGGUCAGUGGAGUAAAUACAGCUAAACAGUUUUAUUUCAGAUAAUACAGCCAGACCACUACACAACCCAACUGUUGCAAAAGGGAGUGUCAUUUGGCUGCAAAAGAUGAUGAACUGAAGAAUUUACACUGGACAAGCACCACCAUUUCAGUAGCGACAAAUGUAUUUUUCACUGCUCGUUGAAAAGAGGAAAUGCUUUGCUCUCAGGCUCUUGUUUCUCUUCUAGAGCUUACAAGAUGACUUGCAAAAGCUUUUGUCACU